UACGUAGGUGGCAAGCGUUGUCCGGAUUUACUGGGCGUAAAGAGCGCGCAGGCGGUCGUGCAAGUCGCGUGUGAAAGCCCCGGGCUCAACCUGGGAAUGGCAAUGGAUGCUGGCAAGCUAGAGUGCGGUAGAGGGUAGUGGAAUUCCCGGUGUAGCGGUGAAAUGCGUAGAGAUCGGGAGGAACACCAGUGGCGAAGGCGGCUACCUGGACCAGCACUGACACUGAGGCACGAAAGCGUGGGGAGCAAACAGG
rnacentral:rRNA from 1 species